rnacentral:rRNA from 1 species
AACGAACGCUGGCGGCGCGUUUUAAGCAUGCAAGUCGGACGGUAGGCGAGUGGCAACACUUGCUGAGAGUGGCGAACGGGUGAGUAAGACGUAGGUGAUCUACCCCUGGAUGGGGGAUAGUCCGUGGAAACACGGGGUAAUACCGCAUGAGGCCUUGGGGGUAAAGCCCCGAGGUGAAAGCUCCAAUUGGAGCGUCUGGGGAUGAGCCUGCGGCCCAUUAGGCAGUUGGCGGGGUAACGGCCCACCAAACCGACGAUGGGUAGCCGGCCUGAGAGGGUGUACGGCCACACUGGAACUGAGACACGGUCCAGACUCCUACGGGUGGCUG